UCCAUAUGUUUUGUAUAUGUUUUUCAACUACAUGUACCGGAAUGGCAUGGACUUUGGCCACUCCCCAAAAUGAAACUUGGCAUAGAUGCCAUACAGCAUAGAUGGUCCCAGAGGAAUGAUAUCACUUUGACAUCAUGAAAUGAUUUAUCAUUUAAUUUUGAAGAUUUAAUUUGUCCCAUUGACUUUGUACACAUUUUUAAUCCCAUUGACUUUGUGCACGGACGUAUUGCAUUUCUAUGUACAAUCUGCUAGCUGACCUGUGCGAUCGGUUGAUCUUAACGUGGUUGCUCAUUAUAGUCUUUGAUAUUACAUAAUUUCUAGAUAAUUUGGCUUAAAGGUUGUGCAAGAUUUUUUUUUAAAUAUAGAGGGAAAUGAACUCAGAGAUUUCAUGUUGGGUCAGCCAUGGAGGUAGGAAGACUGAUUGUUAAAGCAGUACCCUACACAAAUCGUCCACUGCACACAGCACAAUGACCUUUCGUGGUCAUGUCAACACAUGGAUAUUUUCGACUGGCCUGUGUGUUUUUUUUAGACCUCUUGGGACAUCCCAGAACUGAAAUUUCACGAAUUGAGUGCUUGUUGAACCACAUUGCUUGAUCAGAGGAUUCCAAGGUUAUUCCACAAAAGCGGAACUAAAAUUAAAUGCAUGCACAGGAGCUGGAAAUUGCAGAAGGAGUUGACACCGAAUAUGGAGUGGUAACGAUCGUGAGCACUACUGGUAUUGCAGCCAUGGCGGUAGCAGAGGGUCAUGACGGUAGUCUGGCGACCAGUUUGGUUUGGAAGCUGGAUGAACUGUUGGAACUGGUAGGCAAUUAACAUUAUGAAAUGAAGUCUUUGUCUGCACUGUCUGUGUUCUGUAGCUCUGGGGAAACAUAACUGACUUACCUUAGCUCUGAAUUUGCAUUAAUAUGAUAUUCUGAGUAACCUGAGUCACUCUACAAUGGAUACAUCUGGAUAGCAACUGCAGGUAUUAAUUUUACUCCCUCCUGAGUUCAUUAUUUAAUGAUGAUAUACACAUGUAUGUAGCUUUUAUUUGAGGCAACAAAUUUGUACAAGUUGUGUGAUUGUGCUGAACAGAUACCUGUGCGUCAGAUAAAGGAAGCUGCUGCACAACUACAACCAAGCAAGGAAAUUAACAGGUAAUGCUGAAAAGGUCUUCUGUUGCAUGUACUAACAGAUUGCCAGUUCUACUUAUUUCUGAUAAUUGCAGUCAUAAAACAUAGUUUGGCUGUGUGUGUGUGGGGGGGAUACAUCCAUACAUAUGUCACCAUCAUAAAUAGUUCCCUCAUCAGCAUCCACUUGCCCAGUCCCCUACUUUAACAUUUAUCCCCACAUACUCCCCAUUCAGAGAGAACCCAAGAUUGUGAUGCCACUGAAUACAUGUACAUACUGUACAUGUACACAUUUCAGCAGGUCAUGUGUCCAAGUGCUGACCCCAGUUUUCCUUACAAUGAACACAUGAUUUGCUGUAAUAGAUUUUUUCCUUUUUUCGAUGAUACAGAUGUUCAUCAGUACAGACACCAGGGCAGUCUUCAUACAUGUUGGAUGUCCCCAGUAUCAUUGAUGGAAAUGCAGUUUUAAGCAAGACUGAUCCACAGAAUGGUUGAACACGGAUGGUCUUCCUUCUAGCUUCCAGUGGGUAGCGGAUACCGGACUUUACUCGAGUAUGUCUACCGUAAUAAUACUGUUACAUGUACAUAUCAGAAGCACGGCUACCCAAGAUGAAGGAAGCUGUUUGACAACCAAGGAAGGAAAAUAACAAGAUGACACAGAAGAAUGUCGACCAGCAUAUAUGACGGAAGUGGUGACCCAAGUAUCGUCGAUGGAAAUGCAAUUCAUAUCAAGACUGUUCUACAAGACUUCAUCAAAUACCAAGAUUACUUGAAACAACUGCAACCAACAGGACAUGAGAUAUACAUGUGUGUGUAUGUGUACAUGUCCCCUGUAAUUUUUUCAAGAUCACUGCAGAAAUCGUGAAUUCAGGCUGCAAAGCUAUGCUAUGCAAAGUUUUCAACAUCACAAGAUCCUGAUCUUUUGAAUGUGUUCCUGUGUUUUCCUGCAUUCAAAUACCCCUGCCCAGCCUACGUAUGCAAAUUUUCCAUGUGCCUAAUACAAUUCGCUGAAAAGACUUGAAUAUGCAUACUGCCCCUCGACCCUCCACAAUGCACUGCGAUCCCGCUGCCAUGUUUGUCUAUCUUUUCUCAGCGCCUGUCAUUUACACACGUGUCUUUUAUGGUAUUUUCAGAGUUUCGAGUUCCGUACCUUUCGCAUUUGUGAAUUGACUUGAUUUUUGUUAACGAAUAAAGAGUGAUUUCUUAUCUAUUGGCAAGAGUGCUUUUUUUCGUAUUUUGUAUCUCAUAUUUUGUUGUUCUUUUCUGCCCUUUUUUUUUCUGUGUAUUAUCUACAGGGUUAGGUGUGACCUACCUUAGUGUGUUGUGUAUGGCCUUUGACCAGGGCUUGUGGUGUGCACAUUCGAAUAAUAAUGACCCAACGCUAUAUGGGUCCUUUGUGAUGUGGUUUGCAUUAUCUGAUUAACGGCCUUGACGGGGAGAGACCCUGUGGAGUGAAUAGGACGGGGUUGAGUGUGCUGUGCCACAACACUGCCCUGGACCUUUAUCUACAUGAUCGCGUUGAGCAUGCUAUGCCACAACAAUACCAUGAUCACUGAAGACCACUACCGGAAUUGAUCAGGCUGAGCGUGCUGUGCCACAACGCUGCCCUUGUUCACUGAUGAUUGCUCCAGGCAUCUUCAGAUCAGGUCUAGCAUGUUGUCCCGCAACACUACCCUUGGUAGAAUGAUGGGCAGUUCCUUCUCUAUGCUGUGGGUACCGGGCAUCAGUACCUACCAUAUUCCCGGGCACCCUAAUGACCGAUGACCCAGGGAGGCUCGCAGGGCGACGGUCUUCCGUCUGCCUCAGGUCCCUCACAGGCUUUUCCUGCCGAUUGGCGUCUGCUAGGAAGCCGGGCCAGCCAACUCUCUCCAAGCGGGCAAUGGUUUCCACAGCGGGUUCGCAACACUCCACUGCUACUGCCAUGGAUGAGUCUGCAAUUCUGCAGGGUGCUUAGCCUCGUUUUGAAUCAGACAAUGUCGUCCCCUUUGGACUGCUACACCGCCAGGGCUUUUGUCCACCACAUUCCAUCCGCAGCUCCGGUCUGCCGAUGGACUUCUGUCUUGAGGCCACCGAUCCUGACCUGGGAUGCUCCUUGCAUGAUAUGACCGUCCAUUCAGUGGACCCCCCGCCCGGCUGUUCCUCCAACCGUCCCGGCCUUCAGCUCCCCCGCUGGGGUAAAGUCUAAGAAGCACAAGGCCAAGUCGUCUUCUUCAUCUUCCUCAUCCAAGGCUAAGAAGAAAUGCUGAAGUCUGAUUUGUAUCACCCUUUAGGAGGCAUUCACCUCUCUCUCCUGCAAAAUAGACUCCAAGCCUCAACCAGUGGCAGCUGACGCAGAUCCCCUCCCGGCUGUCCCUCCUCCCUUGCAAGGGGCAUUCUCGGAGGUCGAAGUGGUUUCUGUCAUCCAGCCAGAACCGCUUCCCCAACGGGACCCAACUCCGGAUCAUGUCCCGGAUCAUGGUGACUCUCUUCAUUCAGCACACUGUUCGGACUCUCUUCCACGGGCCUUCAACCUGUCUGUUCGGAGGAUGACAACAUUGACUCUAUUGCUGGCCUGACCCAAUUUGAGGGUCCCCUCCGCCUUCUUGAGCGUGACAUGAUCCACGUUCUUGGACUACCGUCGUUCGACCCAAUACUUGCAGAGCAAGCACUCACUUCAUUCAAGCAUCACUAUGGUGCUUCCGUCACAGCUCCCCGGCGGCUCAGCCUGCUUCAGUCGACCACGACCUGCAUUUUGGACAUCCUGUUGACGCCAUAGGUCUUCAGGUUCUUCCUUCGGCUGGUGAUCCGGCUGUUCCACAGCCGGAUCACCAGCACAUAAAAAGUGUGCACACUAAUCGUCAUCUUCGGAAUUCAAAUUCAAAAUCUCUCUCUGCACCUAAGCAAGAUACAUGUAUUUCUUCUUCUAAUUUGUUGAAGGUGGUCCAUUCCCUUGGAAACGCUGUCCAUAAUAGUCAGCUGCCUCGAGUCAACCUCAACUCCACCAGCGACUGCUCCUGACUUAAAUCCCCUGUGUGAGGAUCUCCAUCUGGAUCCUCACCUAGAUUUGUAACCGAUUUCUAGCUUCAUUUCCAGCUUCACAGCCGGCUCUGUCAGUCCAUCCAAUACACGAACACCCAUUCAUUUUAUUUUUUGCACUUAACAAAUUCAUUCAAUAACAAUUCUUUAACCUAUCUGGGUUCAACUGCACUGUGGAAAGGUUGUCAACUUUGAUUGAUAUUUUACCCAGUGUUGGUGUAAAUGUCAACUUCCCAACCUUGUGCAAAUUCUUCCCAAUCGUUUGUCAAUGUUUGACCAACAUUGAUGGAAUUAACCAAUAACAUGGCAACUUGUAUGCCAAGCACUGUUUAACCAAUUCUUUUUCUUUACAGUGUGGUGAUGUUUAUUAUCCAGGCCUAUCCAGGCCUUUUUGGGGCUUGCGGGCAUUACAUGUACAUGUUUAAGCUACCGGACCACCUUACGUCAUUUGCUCGUACGGCCCCUGUAUAUGUAUACUAGUGAAUGCGAGUCUGAGUCACACAUGCUUAACCGUGACCAUGACCCGAACAAUAGCUCAUAGGCCUACCACUACACUACGCAUCAGACCGCCGGCUAGCACUCAAGACUCCCUUGCCGGGGGCCAGCUGGGCGGGAAACAGAGAAAUCUGCUACAUGGGCAUCUCUCUACCAUUCUCUGGAGCUAUCCUGGUGAAUAAAACGCUAAGCGAUCAGCCUACUACGUGUGUUUUAUAUUUUCCCCCACCAGUUUUUUGGUCAUUUAUGCCUGCAGUAGAUGUCAACGCCUUACCCGCAGACCCAGUGCGCCGUCGAGCCCUUCAACGUCUGAAACUUCGUCAUCGGGCACUUAGGUGUGGUAACAAUAAACCACGAUCUCCAAACAGACUCCCCUCUAUUUCUGACUGGUGAUCACCCCAUUCAAGUCAGCAUCCACGCCUCGGGUGUUGGAGUUCACCAAAAUUCUCAUUGUUGCAAAUUCUACACGCUCCUUUCAUCUGAUAAUUCUGGGAUCUCCAUAUAUCUCUGUUCGGCCUGGCUACGCCACACAUACUAUCCCAACAUGAGUUCCUUUGUAGUGGGCAUGUCCAAAGUGUGUAUACUGAAGGUAACAAGGUCUGGCAAAAGGGCCCCCUACUGUUGGCGCCCAUUUUUUUAAUGGCGUGCCAUAGUUGCUCUUCGACUGCGCCCGGCGCAAUCAAAAGAAAGUGGCGUACUCGGCAAGGUUUUUGUCAAUGUCACCAUAUUACCUGCUCAUGCUCUUUGUGCUAGUGAGUAAAUGGAAAUAUUACAACACUUGGAUGCUGAAUGAAAUAGGAUAUCUUGAUUCCCAAUCAUGGAGUGACUUCGGUCUUCGGAUGCUCCUUACCUGCAGUUUUACUAUUUUUGCAAUGCAAAAAGGCUCAUUAUUCACUUCCUAGUGAGUAUCUCAGCCUCUUUUUGCAUAUAGGCCAGCCCUACUUUCGUCCCUCCUAGUUUAGAUGUGACCGUGAUGGCAGAUGCC